AGCCUGUCGAGCGCCGCCCGUACGCUGCACCCGCAGCCACGCACUCGAGGCCGAGCUCCCGAGCGUGCCGCCGCCUCGACCUCGCGACCCGCCGGCGACCGGAUCCUCGCCGGAGAUGAGUGCCGCCGUGCCCUGCUCCCUCCUCUCUUCCUCUGUCUCCUCUCACCUCGCUCAUCCCCCAAUCUCUCUGUCCCCAGGACGAACAGGAGCAUGCCAUGGCCUCGGAUCCGCGCCGCCGUCGCCGGAGAACGUCGCCCGCCACCGGUUCUUCGACCACAACUACCGGAUCAAGUUGCCCCGCCUCCGAUCUACCCGUUCCCGGCCACCCCAACCUCGCCUCGUCAUUGGGCGCGCAGAGAGACGGUGGCCAAGGUGGCUGCCCGAUUGCCGAGCGCCGCCGGCCAAGGACCCGCCGGCGUCCAGACCCCCUCCACGCCAUCCCCAUCUCGCCGGAGACCUGCUCCAAGUCUGGCCGCCCUCCAAACAGAAAAUCAGUUUAUAUAGGUAUAUGACAAAAAAUACUGCCUGUCGUCAGUACGCGGAGACAGAGGCCAAGGAUGACCGGCAACUCAUGGAGGAGGACACCUCAAAUCAGUCUGGGAAGUUGUCGUCGUUUUCCUCGGGCAGCAAUGCAAAAUAUUGUAAUGAUACUUAUCAAUGUUUUUAUUUGGUUGUGCAGUACUCGCUAGGUGCUUGACGAAAUUCUCAUAUGAUGCAUGUGGCAAGGUUCCUAGAGGAUAAUGUAGAUUAAUGAUUCCAUGGAGAGCUGCCAGAAUCUUCAAUUGGAGGCAAUUAAAGACGGACCUCACCGGAUUGGAUUUGUCUAGCAUUCCAGCUAAGUUUCAAGGUAGCUUUAAGACUCCAUGCAAACAAUCACUGAUUAGUAGGUAGUAGGCAUGCAGUUUCAGUUAAACCGAAGCUUAAUCCACAUACAUUGUUCACUGGAGGUAUCCGUGCCAUUACACUCAUCCCUCUGUGUGAGUGACACAACUAUGUACUGCUAUAAAAACACUGGAGUGCCCAACAAUAUCUUAUAAUGGCUUUGGUACGUGGCAGUAUGAGGCCUGGGAUAAUGUUUACUUGUGAUUCACAAAAUGGAAGAAAUUAAGGAAACAUGUCACGUUCAUUGUCGCCUGGUUUACGGUAACUGGUGUUGCCCCCUCCCUUGGAAUCUCUCAGAUCUAUGGCAUAGCCAGUUCUCCAUCCCGCAGUUUUCGCAUGUUGCAACGCACUGGCUCUUUUGUAGGACCAUCGUCGACAUAGACAAGUUCUGCUUCAAGGACGAGACAUAGAAGAAGGCUCGACAAGAGGAAGGAAGCAGGUGUGGUUUAGCAACGUACCUCAUACAUGGUCAGUUGCUGACAAAGGAGGGCAGAAUUGGAUUACAAAGGCUAAAGAUGGUACCAUCUGGCUCUCGCACUAGAGUUUUUCUGGAUGUUGGCUUUGGAGUAACAAGUUUUGGGCCAUACUUAAUUUCACGUGAAUUUGAGCAUGGUGUUCCUGCAAUGGUGGCAACUAAUUUAACACCGGCUAUUAUCCAAUGUUCCCGCUGUAGAAUAAAUUCGACAUGUGAUGGUGAGCUGAGAGAUGGAGGACCUAGCUCUCAAACGGACCAUGUUGGGAGAUUGUGAGGAAAAUAUGUUUCUAUGUGGAGGAAGCCUUUUAUAAUUAACUCAUGGUACAUGAGUCGUGAUCCUAGGGUCAAACAUCCACUUUGUGAUACUGAUGAUAAUUCCAGAUAAUGUCUGGUAUUUUGAACCCCACCUGGCAUGCUUUUAAUUGUUAAGCCUCAAUUCAAGGACUAAAUUCAGAAUAUGUAUUAAGAAAGUAGUCCAUACUUUUUUUAGAUUUGUUUUGAACAUUUGCAUAAUUAUGCAAUUAUCUCUUGCAAAGUGUAGUCUCAUGAUUUCGACUUA